rnacentral:rRNA from 1 species
GAUGAACGCUGACAGAAUGCUUAACACAUGCAAGUCUUUGGCGAAGCUGUGCUUGCACAGCCUAGCCAAGGCGGACGGGUGAGUAACGCGUCAGGAACUUGCCCUGCAGUCAGGGAUAACAGACGGAAACGACUGAUAAGACCUGGUAAAGUCAGGCGGACUCAUGUCCAGCCUGAUGAAAAGAGAUGCUGCAGGAGAGCCUUGCGUCCUAUUAGCUUGUUGGUGGGGUAACGGCCCACCAAGGCGAUGAUAGGUAGCCGGCCUGAGAGGGUGGACGGCCACAAGGGGACUGAGAUACGGCCCUUACUCCUACGGGAGGCAGCAGUGGGGAAUAGUGGACAAGGGGGGCAACCCUGAUACAGCAAUUCUGUGUGCACGAUGAAGGUUUUCGGAGUGUAAAGUGCUUUCAGGAGGGAAGAAAAAAAUGACGGUACCUGCAGAAGAAGCGACGGCUAAAUACGUG